rnacentral:rRNA from 1 species
UACGAAGGGGGCUAGCGUUGUUCGGAAUCACUGGGCGUAAAGCGCACGUAGGCGGAUCUUUAAGUCAGGGGUGAAAUCCCGAGGCUCAACCUCGGAACUGCCUUUGAUACUGGGGAUCUCGAGUUCGGGAGAGGUGAGUGGAACUGCGAGUGUAGAGGUGAAAUUCGUAGAUAUUCGCAAGAACACCAGUGGCGAAGGCGGCUCACUGGCCCGAUACUGACGCUGAGGUGCGAAAGCGUGGGGAGCAAACAGG